rnacentral:tRNA from 1 species
GCUGGUGUAGCUCAGUUGGUAGAGCAGCUGAUUUGUAAUCAGCCGGCCGCAAGUUCGAGUCUUGUCACCAGCU